rnacentral:rRNA from 1 species
AUACGGAGGGUCCGAGCGUUAAUCGGAAUUACUGGGCGUAAAGCGUACGUAGGCGGCUUGGUCAGUCGGAUGUGAAAGCCCCGGGCUUAACCUGGGAAUUGCACUCGAUACUGCCAGACUAGAGUUUAGUAGAGGAAUGCGGAAUUCCGGGUGUAGCGGUGAAAUGCGUAGAUAUCCGGAGGAACAUCAGUGGCGAAGGCGACUUGCUGGACUAAUACUGACGCUGAGGAGCGAAAGCGUGGGGAGCAAACGGGAUUAGAAACCCGGGUAGUCC